rnacentral:rRNA from 1 species
GGCCUACCAUGGUGGUAACGGGUAACGGGGUGUUAGGGCACGACACCGGAGAGGGAGCCUGAGAAACGGCUACCACAUCCAAGGAUGGCAGCAGGCGCGCAAAUUACCCAAUCCCGACACGGGGAGGUAGUGACAAUAAAUAACAAUACAGGGUUCUUUUGGAUCUUGUAAUUGGAAUGAGUACAAUUUAAAUCUCUUAACGAGGAACAAUUGGAGGGCAAGUCUGGUGCCAGCAGCCGCGGUAAUUCCAGCUCCAAUAGCGUAUAUUAAAGUUGUUGCAGUUAAAAAGCUCGUAGUUGAAUUUCGAGAUCAAAUUGUUGGUCGUGCCUCGGUACGUACUGGCAUUAUUGAUUUCUCCCUUCUGACGAUCCGCGAUGUCAUUAAUUUGGUGUCGCGGGGAAUCAGGACUGUUACUUUGAAAAAAUUAGAGUGUUUAAAGCAGGCUCACGCUUGAAUACAUUAGCAUGGAAUAAUGAAAUAGGACGUUUGAUUCUAUUUUGUUGGUUUCUAGGAUCGACGUAGUGAUUAAUAGGGAUAGUUGGGGGCAUUAGUAUUCAAUUGUCAGAGGUGAAAUUCUUGGAUUUAUUGAAGACUAACUACUGCGAAAGCAUUUGCCAAGGAUGUUUUCAUUAAUCAAGAACGAAAGUUGGGGGCUCGAAGACGAUCAGAUACCGUCCUAGUCUCAACCAUAAACGAUGCCGACCAGGGAUCGGCGGAUGUUACUUUUAGACUCCGCCGGCACCUUAUG